rnacentral:rRNA from 1 species
AUUGAACGCUGGCGGCAUGCCUUACACAUGCAAGUCGAACGGCAGCACGGGUGCUUGCACCUGGUGGCGAGUGGCGAACGGGUGAGUAAUACAUCGGAACGUACCUUAUCGUGGGGAAUAACGCAGCGAAAGCUGUGCUAAUACCGCAUACGCCCUGAGGGGGAAAGCGGGGGAUCGCAAGACCUCGCGCGAUUAGAGCGGCCGAUGCCCGAUUAGCUUGUUGGUGGGGUAAAAGCCCACCAAGGCGACGAUCAGUAGCUGGUCUGAGAGGACGAUCAGCCACACUGGGACUGAGACACGGCCCAGACUCCUACGGGAGGCAGCAGUGGGGAAUUUUGGACAAUGGGGGCAACCCUGAUCCAGCAAUGCCGCGUGAGUGAAGAAGGCCUUCGGGUUGUAAAGCUCCUUUGUCAGGGAAGAAACACCGGCUCUAACACAGUCCGGGAAUGACGGUACCUGAAGAAUAAGCACCGGCUAACUACGUGCCAGCCGCCGCCGUAA